AGCUUGACCAAUAAUUUUUCCCCACCCUGUACUUUUAUGUACAUAUUUAUUACAUAUAAAUCAAAUCCUACAUAUUGAAAGCAAUAUUAAACUGUUUUAUAUGACUGCUCCAGUUCACACGUCAUUUAGCGUUAACCUGAUUUGACUUCUUGUACCUCGCAUAUGGAGCAAGAUGGUGGCUUAUCGAUAUAUCGCAUAUAUCGAUUUCAAUGUCGCUUCUCUUAUAUCUAGGCCUCUACUUUCGACUACCAGCGCGAGUUCUGAUUAGCUUCUGCUUUUCUGCCAAGGUGUGAAUUCACCCUUACACUAAUUUUUUUAAUCUUUAAAGUAAGGAAGGUUAUAUUGUAUACUCCUCAUAGAUAGUGACCAUACUAGUGACAAACGAACGCUAUUUUCGAUCCACGAUGUCCAUACUCUUAGGGUGCCGUUACAUGGAGCGUAACUUGCGUAAGCGUAACCUGCGUAACCUAGUAAUUUUAUAGAAGUUACUAUAAAACUUACGCCUAGUUUACGCUUUCUACGCCAGUUGUCAAUUACGCCGAAUCCAAUUUCUGGUGGAAAAUACGCUAAAUGCAUGUGUGUGACAGUGUGUGUGUGUAUUCUUUUUUGACUCGCGAUCGCCGUGCCAAAAUUUCUGAAAAAAUGGAUCAAAUUCGGCAUAAAUGUGGAUAUUGUGGGUGGCUCUUUAGCUUCACCACAAAUUUUAUUGAUCAUAAGUGUUUCAAGCAGUACAUUGAAGGAGAAGACCACAUCAGCAUCGAUGAAAACCAUAUCGUAACAAUAAGUAUAAUUUGUUGGCAAGAACCGCUAAUACAAGAUUAGAAUCCAUGUUUAAGAGAUUCCAGGUUUUUUGUGCUAGAUACGCGUCGUCAACCAGUCAACCACUCCGUAUACUUUAUUUAGGUUAUUUCACGCAUACUCGUACAUACAUUACACACA